rnacentral:rRNA from 1 species
AUCCCCCUAGUAAGGGCGACUGAAGCGGGGAAAGCUCACCGUGUGAAUCUGUGCAUCCCGCUCGCCUGCAAGGGCAGCGGGUGCACCGAAUUGUGGUCUGAAGAGGUGUCGUCGGCCGCGGUCCCGGGCUAAGUCCCUUGGAAAAGGGCAGCUGAGAGGGUGAGACUCCCGUUCUUGCCUGGGAUUAGCGCGCCAUAGCACGUGCCCUCAACGAGUCGAGUUGCUUGGGAUUGCAGCUCAAAGUGGGUGGUAAAUUCCAUCUAAAGCUAAAUAUUGGUGGGAGACCGAUAGCGUACAAGUACCGUGAGGGAAAGAUGCAAAGAACUUUGAAAAGAGAGUUAAAGAGUACCUGAAAUUGCUGAAAGGGAAGCGAAGGAAACCAGUGUCGUGCGUGGUCAUACUUCUCCUGCUGCUUGCGGCAGGGGCGCUGUGGCCGCGCGUGGGCCAGCAUCGGUUUGCACCUCGGGGCAAACGGUAGCGCGGGAGGUAGACCCUUUUGGGUCGAACACCGUGUUGCCUUGUCCUGGGGGAGACCGAGGUCAGUCGCGUAAGCGUUCGUGAUGCUGGC